rnacentral:rRNA from 1 species
CGGCGUGUGUAUGCCAUGGGCGCAGCCUGAUGCAGCCAUGCCGCGUGUAUGAAGAAGGCCUUCGGGUUGUAAAGUACUUUCAGCGGGGAGGAAGGCGAUAAGGUUAAUAACCUUGGCGAUUGACGUUACCCGCAGAAGAAGCACCGGCUAACUCCGUGCCAGCAGCCGCGGUAAUAA